GAUGAACGCUGGCGGCGUGCCUAAUACAUGCAAGUCGAGCGAACUGAUUAGAAGCUUGCUUCUAUGACGUUAGCGGCGGACGGGUGAGUAACACGUGGGCAACCUGCCUGUAAGACUGGGAUAACUUCGGGAAACCGAAGCUAAUACCGGAUAGGAUCUUCUCCUUCAUGGGAGAUGAUUGAAAGAUGGUUUCGGCUAUCACUUACAGAUGGGCCCGCGGUGCAUUAGCUAGUUGGUGAGGUAACGGCUCACCAAGGCAACGAUGCAUAGCCGACCUGAGAGGGUGGUCGGCCACCCUGGGACUGCGACACGGCCCAGACUCCUACGGGAGGCAGCAGUAGGGAAUCUUCCGCAAGGGACGAAAGCCGGACGGGGCAACGCCGCGUGAGUGAUGAAGGCUUUCGGGUCGUAAAACUCUGUUGUUAGGGAAGAACAAGUACGAGAGUAACUGCUCGUACCUUGACGGUACCUAACCAGAAAGCCACGGCUAACUACGUGCCAGCAGCCGCCGUAACAC
rnacentral:rRNA from 1 species